CUAUGAGCAAGAGCCCGUGCUGGCAUAAGGCCAGCUUCAUCUUCAACCACAACAACAGAAUGCCAAUAAAUGAAAACAACAGGAAACGGUGAAUGGGACGGAUUAACGAAAGGACCGGUGAUGCAGAAAGUGACCGAGCUGGUCUAUGAGCAAGAGCCCGUGCUGGCAUAAGGCCAGCUUCAUCUUCAACCACAACAACAGAAUGCCAAUAAAUGAAAACAACAGGAAACGGUGAAUGGGACGGAUUAACGAAAGGACCGGUAGUUCCUGAUUGGUGGUUUAUUGCUGCUGUAUUCAACUCGCCUGAUUGAAGACCAACACCGCCAUCCAUGUUAUAUUUGGAAGGAAUUCAGGGAGAACACAUCGUUAGACUGGGCAGUUUAUAUGGAAUUCAGG